rnacentral:rRNA from 1 species
CCUACGGGAGGCAGCAGUGAGGAAUAUUGGUCAAUGGACGAGAGUCUGAACCAGCCAAGUAGCGUGAAGGAUGACUGCCCUAUGGGUUGUAAACUUCUUUUAUAUGGGAAUAAAAUGUUCCACGUGUGGGAUUUUGUAUGUACCAUAUGAAUAAGGAUCGGCUAACUCCGUGCCAGCAGCCGCGGUAAUACGGAGGAUCCGAGCGUUAUCCGGAUUUAUUGGGUUUAAAGGGAGCGUAGGUGGAUUGUUAAGUCAGUUGUGAAAGUUUGCGGCGCAACCGUAAAAUUGCAGUUGAAACUGGCAGUCUUGAGUACAGGAGAGGUGGGCGGAAUUCGUGGUGUAGCGGUGAAAUGCUUAGAUAUCACGAAGAACUCCGAUUGCGAAGGCAGUUCACUGGACUGCAACUGACACUGAGGCUCGAAAGUGUGGGUAUCAAACAGGAUUAGAUACCCCUGUAGUC